rnacentral:rRNA from 1 species
GCCUACGGGGGGCAGCAGUGAGGAAUAUUGGUCAAUGGGCGAGAGCCUGAGCCAGCCAAGUCGCGUGAAGGAAGAAGGUACUUAGCAUUGUAAACUUCUUUUGUCGGGGAACAAAGGCGGAGACGCGUCUCCGGAUGAGUGUACCCGAAGAAAAAGCAUCGGCUAACUCCGUGCCAGCAGCCGCGGUAAUACGGAGGAUGCGAGCGUUAUCCGGAUUUAUUGGGUUUAAAGGGUGCGCAGGCGGUCUGUUAAGUCAGCGGUCAAAUCCCGGGGCUCAACCCCGGCCC